GGGGAAGCAGGGAAGCGUCGCCAGCCAAUCGCGCGCGUCGCACCCAACGUGGGGUGCUGACGCAACGCGUCCCCGAAGCCUAUAGCAGCAGAGCACCGGACGGACCGUCCUCCCCCUCCUCUCUUACCCCGUUUGCUUCCAUCUCCGCCGUCUCCUCGGUCUCCCCUCCCACCCCUCUACCCCUCCUCCCCCAGCCGCGUCCUCCCGGGCUCGGAGAGGAACUGUUCUUGGAGGAGCCGCGGGACGUCGAAACCAACCAAUGAGAAGAGGCGAGACGCGGAGAUUGGCACUGUGGAUGGGAAGCAUGAAUUACAAACCUCCUCCAUCUGCCACUGGAGACACAGAGAUUAACGUUCUAAUGGGAAGAUGGUCAACAAAAGAGCUACUUGUAGCAUAGGUGAUAAAGACCACUCUGAAGCUUGGGGACUAAGUACCAGGACAUGGCGAAGUUUAAUUAUUUCAGUGAGGAAAAGUGCAAUGGACUUUGGCAGAUAAGUUGCUCUGUCAUACAAGCUGAACUGGUGGCACCAUCUACCCAAAGCCUUCGUGAUUCAGUGGAGUUCUCACAUGAGCUUCUCAGGAACAAGUUCUUUUGGUAAGGCCAGGAUUUUGUCAGAACAUCAGUGCACCUAAUCUUAGGUGCGCUUUCUCAUCUUCCAUCAAUUUUUUCCAGACUUCUUUAUUUGCCCCACUGCUCAAUGACUUUUCUAGUUGCUGGAGGGCACACGAAUGAGAAAGGGAACCUUUGUUGAGGCUUUGGGACAAUGAUGGUUUUUCUACAAUAUUCCAUGAUGAUUUGAAAAAUUAAGAACUCUGUCUACGACAGUGGCACAUUUACAUUACACAUGUUCAGCAAGACUUUUCUUAUUUCCCUCCAGGCUUUCUCCACUCUGCCCUGUGGAUUUCUACAACCUUACUUUCAUA